UAUAAAUAUUUACUUUCAUUUCCCCACCUCUUAACUGUGUUUUUCUACUAGGAGGGUGAGUGUCUAGCAAGGGGUUGCAGCCAGCCUGGACACCCCUUGGGCACUCAUGCUGGAGACAAGGCAGUCUGUCCUUCUUGCUCUGCUUACUCGCAGGUCUGUCAGCACAUUUAAUAAUACUGGAGAAGGCACUAUCAACACUUGUAGGUUGCCAACGGUAAGCCUUGUGUUCUAUACUGAACAAAAAUAUAAAUGCAACAUACAACAAUUUCAACGAUUAUACUGAGUUACAGUUCAUAUCAGGAAAUCAGUCAAUUGAAAUUAAUUCAUUAGGCCCUAAUCUAUGGAUUUCAGAUGACUGGGCAGGGGCACAGCCAUGGGUGGGCCUGGGAGGGCAUAGGCUGACCCACUGGGGAGCCAGAAAUGCUCACUAACAGGGAUGUAAACAUAUUUCUGCACAACUUUUGAGAGAAAUAAGCUUUUUGGGCAUAUGGAACAUUUCUGGGAUCUUUCAUUUCAGCUCAUGAAACAUGGGACCAACACUUUACAUGUGUUUGUAUUUUUAUUCAGUAUAGAUGACUGGACUACAGAGUGGGACACAAAUCUCUACACUCUUGAUGACUCUAUUUAUGUCAAGGCGUCUGUAACUGGACAAGCCACCAAUGAGUUGCCAUAGUUGUGGGCAUAUGCAUUGCCAUGCCAACCGCAAACAAUCCUAUUCAAUACCCCUUCAUUUCUGGCCACGGGUAAAGUCAUAGGAAGCACCCACGUACAUCUUUUCCAUCAAUCUCAAUUUCUUCCUCUUUCCUUGCCAUGAUUUAAUUUAUUUUUCUUUGUGAUGUGGACUGGUUUCUCUCCAGUUGCUUUGUAGAUGGCAAAAUGCAUGUCUCUCUGUCUGACUUCAGCUUCGCUAGAGAGGACAGCAGAACUCUGCAAAUUCUUCUGGAUGCCUUCCGCUUUCAAACAUGGACAUAUCAAAAGUUUAUAUUAACUGUACCUUGAGAGCAGCUUUUGCAUCUAGCCCUAUAACUGCUGUCAACAAAGACUACACAUAUAACCCGUCUAUAUCCAGAUACCAGAAGCCGCAUGCUGGGACCUGCAAUCAUAAGAGCUACAGUUCAAGGCUCUGAGACCGUAGACAGACGCACAAUGGAGCAGUGUAAGUACAGUGCACCGAGGGGCUUUUCUGGCCAUGUGUUCAAAGUCAGGUUUAUAUAAUGGCUUGGUUCUUCCCAGUAAGCAUGGUUGUGAAUGUAUCUAUUGAGUUUCUCCAUUUGCCAGUGAUUUGGCUAUUUUGUUAGACUGGUUUAACAUGCUUUAGUCUUUAAUAAACGCCUGUCAUAAGA